UGGAGUUACCUAGAUUUAUGCUGCUCCUGUCAGUCUGUCUUCUCUCCUGCUGUUGCAGUGCCUUGGAGGAGAAGCAGGACCUACCAUCAGAAUCAGGUCCAGUAACUCUGGUGUUAUGGUAUAAGUUAGAAAAAUUCAUAAAAUUUAAUGAAGAAAUUACUAAAAGAGAAAUACCUGGAAUUUACAGCCAGCCUGUCCGGAAUCGAAGGGAAAUCAUGGAGGAAGGCAAGGAAAACAUCUUAGAUAUUCUGAGAUUGGAUGAGAUUCUUGGUAAGGAUCCUGAGUUUCAGCUGCAAGAAAUGAGCAUUCCCUUCUCCCGGAAAUUCAACUCUUUUAUGCAGCAGCUGAAAGAAGCCAAAAAACUUCCCAUGAAAGAGAAGUGAAGAGACUUACAAAGUUUUCUGCCUGUUUUAUCUGAAACUUCAGAGAUGGAUUCCAAGGCAACUGUAAACAUCAUAAACACAUCAUUCUAAACUCUUAAGACACAACCUAACUGCAAAGUGCUAAUCCUGUCUGCAAAGAGCUCAGUAUCCUGUUUAUGCAUAUAGUCCCUCCCUUGCUCUCUCCUCCUUCAAUCUUGGGAAAGGCUUCCUGUCCUUAAGAGAGGCAUGCUUGCUUUGUGUAAAAUGUUCUCGGGUUCUCUGAAAUAAACCUUCCUACUCUUUGAGUCCA
rnacentral:lncRNA from 1 species